CCUACGGGAGGCAGCAGUAGGGAAUCUUUCACAAUGGGCGAAAGCCUGAUGGAGCAACGCCGCGUGCAGGAUGAAGGCCUUCGGGUUGUAAACCGCUUUUAUAAGCGAGAAAUAUGAUGGUAACUUAUGAAUAAGGAUCGGCUAACUACGUGCCAGCAGCCGCGGUCAUACGUAGGAUCCGAGCAUUAUCCGGAGUGACUGGGUGUAAAGAGUUGCGUAGGUGGCAUAAUAAGUAGCUAGUGAAAUCGGGUGGCUCAACCAUUCAGACUAUUAGCUAAAAUGUUAAGCUCGAGACCGUUAGGGGUAACUGGAAUUUCUAGUGUAGGAGUGAAAUCCGUAGAUAUUAGGAGGAACACCAAUGGCGUAGGCAGGUUACUGGGACGGUUCUGACACUAAGGCACGAAAGCGUAGGGAGCAAACGGGAUUAGAUACCCGAGUAGUC
rnacentral:rRNA from 1 species